rnacentral:rRNA from 1 species
UUUGUCGACAGGUGCUGCAUGGCUGUCGUUCAGCUCGUGCCGUGAGGUGUUAGGUUAAGUCCUGCAACGAGCGCAACCCUCGUCGCUAGUUGUUUUCUCUAGCGAUACUGCCCGUAUAACGUGGAGGAAGGUGGGGAUGACGUCAAGUCAGCAUGGCCCUUACAUCCUGGGCUACACACACGCUACAAUGGGUGAUACAACAGGUUGCGAUAGAGUAAUCUGGAGCCAAUCCCUAAAAUCAUCCUCAGUACGGAUUGCAGGCUGCAACUGCCUGCAUGAAGUUGGAGUUGCUAGUAAACGCAGGUCAGCACACUGCGUUGAAUACGUUCUCGGGCCUU